UACGGGGGGGGCAAGCGUUGUUCGGAAUUACUGGGCGUAAAGGGCUCGUAGGCGGCCAACUAAGUCAGACGUGAAAUCCCUCGGCUUAACCGGGGAACUGCGUCUGAUACUGGAUGGCUUGAGGUUGGGAGAGGGAUGCGGAAUUCCAGGUGUAGCGGUGAAAUGCGUAGAUAUCAGGAGGAACACCGGUGGUGUAGACGGCUUUCUGGACCGUAACUGACGCUGAGACACGAAAGCGUGGGUAGCAAACAGG
rnacentral:rRNA from 1 species